CUGGCGGCGUGCUUAACACAUGCAAGUCGAGCGAUGAAGCUUCUCGGAAGUGGAUUAGCGGCGACGGGUGAGUAACACGUGGGUAACCUGCCUCAUAGAGGGGAGUAGCCUUCCGAAAGGAAGAUUAAUACCGCAUAAGAUUGUAAUAUCGCAUGAUAUAGCAAUUAAAGGAGUAAUCCGCUAUGAGAUGGACCCGCGUCGCAUUAGCUAGUUGGUGAGGUAACGGCUCACCAAGGCGACGAUGCGUAGCCGACCUGAGAGGGUGAUCGGCCACAUUGGGACUGAGACACGGCCCAGACUCCUACGGGAGGCAGCAGUGGGGAAUAUUGCACAAUGGGGGGAAACCCUGAUGCAAGCAACGCCGCGUGAGUGAUGACGGUCUUCGGAUUGUAAAGCUCUGUCUUCAGGGACGAUAAUGACGGUACCUGAGGAGGAAGCCACGGCUAACUACGUGCCAGCCGCCGC
rnacentral:rRNA from 1 species